AUUUUGACAGGAAAAUACAACAAAGAAUACAAUUUACAUGUAGCGUGUCAAUUCUGCAUGGUGUGUAAGACUCUCGCUCU